rnacentral:rRNA from 1 species
GACGAACGCUGGCGGCGUGCCUAAUACAUGCAAGUAGAACGCUGAAGGAGGAGCUUGCUUCUCCGGAUGAGUUGCGAACGGGUGAGUAACGCGUAGGUAACCUGCCUGGUAGCGGGGGAUAACUAUUGGAAACGAUAGCUAAUACCGCAUAACAGUAGAUGUUGCAUGACAUUUGCUUAAAAGGUGCAAUUGCAUCACUACCAGAUGGACCUGCGUUGUAUUAGCUAGUUGGUGAGGUAACGGCUCACCAAGGCGACGAUACAUAGCCGACCUGAGAGGGGGAUCGGCCACACUGGGACUGAGACACGGCCCAGACUCCUACGGGAGGCAGCAGUAGGGAAUCUUCGGCAAUGGACGGAAGUCUGACCGAGCAACGCCGCGUGAGUGAAGAAGGUUUUCGGAUCGUAAAGCUCUGUUGUAAGGGAAGAACGGGUGUGGGAGUGGAAAGUUCACCCUGGGACGGUAUUUUACCAGAAAGGGACGGCUAACUACGU